rnacentral:rRNA from 1 species
CGGAGGAAGGCGGGGACGACGUCAAGUCAUCAUGGCCCUUAUGCCUAGGGCUGCACACGUACUACAAUGGGCCGGACAAAGCGACGCAAGACCGCGAGGUGGAGCAAAUCGCAAAAACCGUCCCCCAGUUCAGAUUGCACUCUGCAAUUCGAGUGCAUGAAGUUGGAAUUGCUAGUAAUCGCGGAUCAGCAUUGCCGCGGUGAAUGUGUUCCUGAGCCUUGUACACACCGCCCGU